AUGGUCCAUUGAUCCUCAACUACAUUCAAAAAACAUUAGGAAGAAAAUACAGAUAUACCUAUAUUUACAUUUUUUAAGGACGGCGUUUCAAUAAGUUUGGUAAUCUUGUAAAAUGGUGGAGCAAUAGUUCCAUUUCAAAAUUCAAAAACAAAACAGAAUGCCUCGUCAAACAGUACUCAAAAUAUAAAUUCUUUGGAGAAAAUAUAAAAGGAAAGCAAACGCUAGGUGAAAAUAUAGCUGACAAUGGCGGGCUGAAGCAGGCGUUUCAGGCUUAUCAAUUGCACAAAAACAAACUGCCAGUGCUACCAGGAAUAAAUGUAACCAACGAUCAAUUGUUUUUCAUUGGAUAUGGACAGGUCUGGUGCGGAAAAUUUCGACGACAAACAGCAAUACUCCAAGUUGAAAACGGCGUUCAUACCCCAGGCAAAUACAGAGUUAUAGGUACGUUAUCAAAUUCCCACUACUUUGCCAAAGCGUUCAAUUGUCCUGAAGGAAGUAAAAUGAAUCCAAAAAACAAAUGCGCUGUCUGGUAGGAAGGAAAAGAUUUCACAGAAAAGACUGUUCGCCUACGCCAUGCCAAUAUUAAAGAGCUAGUAGCUACUAUAGAUUACACUGCAUGUAUUUGGCAAUACCACAUAUUAUACCACACGCGCAAAUUUACAGUAAAUUUCUGUAACAAUUUUCUGCACUGAAUAGAAAGAAAAGAGGACACAACAAAUGCGGUUUUUUAAGUUUGACUGGUAGGAGUAUGAAACUAAAUACAUGAAGUGCCAAAAGCAAUAUUUCUUUAAUAUUUGAGCCUUUUGAAUUUUAAAAAGAAAACGCUUUCUUUUCACUUUUUGCUAGUAGAAAAUCCAAAAUCUUAGAAGCGUAAUUCCAAUUUUGAAGCAUUGUUUAAACAUAGUAUAACAACAUUCCAGAGUCAAACGGAAACAGCCGUAUUAUGUACAAUAAAAUAUGACUAAAGUCACUAUGUGGAUUUGAUAAAUCUAACAAUAUUAUUUGAUGUAGUGCAACAGAAAAUAUGACCGUUCCUUGUAUUGUAUAUAUAUGAUUCACGCCUUAGAGCAAAUGAUGUAAUUUAAAAUUUUAUUAUAACUUAAGUAAAAACAUGUAUAUCAAGA